UAAGCGUGUAGGCUGGUUUUCCAGGCAAAUCCGGAAAAUCAAGGCUGAGGCGUGAUGACGAGGCACUACGGUGCUGAAGCGACAAAUGCCCUGCUUCCAGGAAAAGCCUCUAAGCAUCAGGUAACAUCAAAUCGUACCCCAAACCGACACAGGUGGUCAGGUAGAGAAUACCAAGGCGCUUGAGAGAACUCGGGUGAAGGAACUAGGCAAAAUGGUGCCGUAACUUCGGGAGAAGGCACGCUGAUAUGUAGGUGAAGCGACUUGCUCGUGGAGCUGAAAUCAGUCGAAGAUACCAGCUGGCUGCAACUGUUUAUUAAAAACACAGCACUGUGCAAACACGAAAGUGGACGUAUACGGUGUGACGCCUGCCCGGUGCCGGAAGGUUAAUUGAUGGGGUUAGCGGUAACGCGAAGCUCUUGAUCGAAGCCCCGGUAAACGGCGGCCGUAACUAUAACGGUCCUAAGGUAGCGAAAUUCCUUGUCGGGUAAGUUCCGACCUGCACGAAUGGCGUAAUGAUGGCCAGGCUGUCUCCACCCGAGACUCAGUGAAAUUGAACUCGCUGUGAAGAUGCAGUGUACCCGCGGCAAGACGGAAAGACCCCGUGAACCUUUACUAUAGCUUGACACUGAACAUUGAGCCUUGAUGUGUAGGAUAGGUGGGAGGCUUUGAAGUGUGGACGCCAGUCUGCAUGGAGCCGACCUUGAAAUACCACCCUUUAAUGUUUGAUGUUCUAACGUGGGCCCCUUACCGGGGUUGCGGACAGUGUCUGGUGGGUAGUUUGACUGGGGCGGUCUCCUCCUAAAGAGUAACGGAGGAGCACGAAGGUUGGCUAAUCCUGGUCGGACAUCAGGAGGUUAGUGCAAUGGCAUAAGCCAGCUUGACUGCGAGCGUGACGGCGCGAGCAGGUGCGAAAGCAGGUCAUAGUGAUCCGGUGGUUCUGAAUGGAAGGGCCAUCGCUCAACGGAUAAAAGGUACUCCGGGGAUAACAGGCUGAUACCGCCCAAGAGUUCAUAUCGACGGCGGUGUUUGGCACCUCGAUGUCGGCUCAUCACAUCCUGGGGCUGAAGUAGGUCCCAAGGGUAUGGCUGUUCGCCAUUUAAAGUGGUACGCGAGCUGGGUUUAGAACGUCGUGAGACAGUUCGGUCCCUAUCUGCCGUGGGCGCUGGAGAACUGAGGGGGGCUGCUCCUAGUACGAGAGGACCGGAGUGGACGCAUCACUGGUGUUCGGGUUGUCAUGCCAAUGGCACUGCCCGGUAGCUAAAUGCGGAAGAGAUAAGUGCUGAAAGCAUCUAAGCACGAAACUUGCCCCGAGAUGAGUUCUCCCUGACUCCUUGAGAGUCCUGAAGGAACGUUGAAGACGACGACGUUGAUAGGCCGGGUGUGUAAGCGCAGCGAUGCGUUGAGCUAACCGGUACUAAUGAACCGUGAGGCUUAACCUU
rnacentral:rRNA from 1 species